rnacentral:tRNA from 1 species
GGGGCUGUGCCUGAAAUAAAGGGCCACUUUGAUAGAGUGAACCAUGAAGGUUAGAAUCCCUCCAACCCCU